rnacentral:lncRNA from 1 species
GACAAAGUCUUGCUCUGUGGCCCAGGCUGAAGUGCAGCGUGUGAUCACAGCUUACAGGUUUACAAAAUUGAUCUUAGAGUCUUUGCUGGCAUCCCCAUGAUACCUUUCUACAGUGGAACAGAGUUUACAUCGACUCCGGGGUAUUAGCACAUGAUGAAGGCAUGCUCUGCCACUGGGCCAGAAGAAAGAUGACUCCCUGACCUUUCCACUCCUGGAGCAUGCCUUAAUAUGCAGACCAACGAAUCCAAGGCCAUAUCUUCUCUAUCUGGCCAAUACACCUCAGGAGGCAAUAUUUCUCUGCCUUAAUCCUGCCAGGCCAGGUACCAGGCAACUAGGGAUCCUCCCAAUAGCUUAGAGUCAGUUGAAAUUCAAACUAGCCCAUCCUAAACUAUCCUGUUGUGACACCUUUCCCUGAGAAAGCCCAAUAAAUGUUCGGCCUAGGCUUUCUCCUUGCUCCUAUUUUCUGCCUCUUAACUACACUGAGGCCUCCCCAUGUGGCCUUGCAUAGUGUGCUGUGCCUCCUGUUUCUAGAAUCUGUAAGUAUAAUAAACUUCUGUU